rnacentral:misc_RNA from 1 species
UACGGAGGGUGCAAGCGUUGCUCGGAAUCACUGGGCGUAAAGCGUACGCAGGCGGCUCGUUAAGUCGGGUGUGAAAGCCCGGAGCUCAACUCCGGAAUAGCGCCCGAUACUGGCGAGCUUGAGUACGGGAGAGGGAAGCGGAAUUCCUGGUGUAGAGGUGAAAUUCGUAGAUAUCAGGAGGAACACCAGUGGCGAAAGCGGCUUCCUGGUCCGAUACUGACGCUCAUGUACGAAAGCGUGGGUAGCAAACAGG